ensembl:lncRNA
UGUGUGUAUGUGUAUGUAUUAUGUACAUUGAGAGAGAGUGAUUACGACUGUAACAGCUGUCCUUCCUCAUACAGGAACAUCUCUGUGGACAGAGACUCAGAGGAAGCACAAGUUCAGCUUCCAAGACGAAUGGAGAAAAAAAUGACAGGAAAGGCAUCUAGAGGUCCAUGCUGGAUCAGUCCUCUCACCGCUGGGAGUCAAAACAAACUUUGGCAAAACACAGCAUCGACAUUCCUUUCGAACUGAAGGCAGGUUUUCAAGAAAGUCUUUUUGUUUUGGGACAAAUUGAUGUGCAGCAAUUAAUGCAAGAAUGCCGAAACAUUAGCUAAAAUAUAAACAAACUUGGUAUCAAGUCUUGCUGUGUGGCCAUUGACAUCCUGGUAAGCUUAAGAAUUUCCAGUCCUUUGCUUUUCCACGUACUUGCUUCCUGUUCUCCCCGGUCUCUCGAGAGAGAUGAGGGGGGCAUUAUUUGAGUUUUCUCUGUAUCUAAAGCAAGCUUUGGUGUGGGUGGCUGGAAAAGUCUCCCUCGACGUGCUAUAAUCAGAAAGCUAAACUUCAGAGAACCUUAUAAUCUUAGAAAAGCCC